rnacentral:tRNA from 1 species
GCCGAAGUGGUGGAACUGGUAGACACGUCGGUCUCAAAAACCGAUGGGCUCAGCCCGUGCCGGUUCGAUUCCGGCCUUCGGUACCA